UACGUAGGGCGCGAGCGUUGUCCGGAAUUAUUGGGCGUAAAGAGCUCGUAGGCGGCCUGUUGCGUCUGGUGUGAAAUCCCGGGGCUUAACCCCGGGCGUGCAGUGGAUACGGGCAGGCUGGAGGCCGGCAGGGGAGAAUGGAACUCCCGGUGUAGCGGUGAAAUGCGCAGAUAUCGGGAGGAACACCGGUGGCGAAGGCGGUUCUCUGGGCCGGUUCUGACGCUGAGGAGCGAAAGCGUGGGGAGCGAACAGG
rnacentral:rRNA from 1 species